rnacentral:rRNA from 1 species
GACGAACGCUGGCGGCGUGCUUAACACAUGCAAGUCGAACGGAAAGGCCCUGCUUUUGUGGGGUGCUCGAGUGGCGAACGGGUGAGUAACACGUGAGUAACCUGCCCUUGACUUUGGGAUAACUUCAGGAAACUGGGGCUAAUACCGGAUAGGAGCUCCUGCUGCAUGGUGGGGGUUGGAAAGUUUCGGCGGUUGGGGAUGGACUCGCGGCUUAUCAGCUUGUUGGUGGGGUAGUGGCUUAUCAAGGCUUUGACGGGUAGCCGGCCUGAGAGGGUGACCGGCCAAAUGGGGACUGAGGUACGGCCCAGACCCCUACGGGAGGCAACAGGGGGGAAUAUUGCAAAAUGGGGGGAAGCCUGAUGCAGCAACGCCGGGUGGGGGAUGACGGCCUUCGGGUUGUAAACCGCUUUCGCCGGUGACGAAGCGGGAGUGACGGUAAUGGGUAAAGAAGCACCGGCUAACUACGU